rnacentral:rRNA from 1 species
GAUGAACGCUGGCGGCGUGCCUAAUACAUGCAAGUCGAGCGAACGGACGAGAAGCUUGCUUCUUUGAUGUUAGCGGCGGACGGGUGAGUCACACGUGGAUCCCCUCCCUAUCAGACUGGGAUAACUUCGGGAAACCGGCGCUAAUCCCGGAUAAUAUUUUGAACCGCAUGGUUCAAAAGUGAAAGACGGUCUUGCUGUCACUUCUAGAUGGAUCCGCGCUGCAUUAGCUAGUUGGUAAGGUAACGGCUUACCAAGGCAACGAUGCAUAGCCGACCGGAGAGGGUGAUAGGCCACACUGGAACUGAGACACGGUCCAGACUCCUACGGGAGGCAGCAGUAGGGAAUCGUCCGCAAUGGGCGAAAGCCUGACGGAGCAACGCCGCGUGAGUGAUGAAGGUCUUCGGAUCGUAAAACUCUGUUAUUAGGGAAGAACAUAUGUGGAAGUAACUGUGCACAUCUUGACGGUACCUAAUCAGAAAGCCACGGCUAACUACGUG